UUUUAAUAAGGCAGACUGUAGUAAAAAGACUAUGUAUAAAAUACCCACAGAUUAUAUUAAAUCGCAGAAGAUUUGAUACAUUAUUUCUCCUAAACAAUUCGGUCCACUCAUCGCCAUUCCAUUUUUGAUAUUAACUCAUUCUCUUCCACUCAUCAUCUUCACAGUUUUAAAAUGACUCAGUGUCUUCAAUAUACCGCAUCUUCUUCAAUAACACACACACACAUAUAUAUAUAUAUAAUGACAAUUAGUCUACGUUUAUAUUCCUUUUUAUUAUAAAAAUUCAUAUGUAGUAGCCAACUUGUUAGACAUCAUUAUAUUAUUCCUUUUCCUUAUUUUAUCUAUUCUAUUUCCAGCAUCUUCCAUCGAGCACCUUCCUUCUCCCUUUCUUAUUAUUAUAUAUUUAUCAUAGUGGCCAACUUGCAUCAUAAGGUUAGGUUUCUUUCUUUUAUUUUAACUCUUCUUUCCAGCACCUCUUUCCUCUUUUACUAUUUUUUUUAGUUCCUUUUCUCAUCUAUAUUCGUUCCCCUCCUUUCUUAUUGUUUCUACCAAUCUCUCUUGCCAAAAGCUGAGACAACCCGAGAGAGAAAAGUGGACUGAUGCUGGUGCUGUCCCAUGCGUGUCCAAGUGCUGCAUUGUUUUAGAAUUUCUGCUUUUGACCGAGUGGAAUGCUGCAGGUGCUGCUUUGGACGCAUCACUCAUCAUUCUCCCACUCACCCUCAUUAUUUAACUGAUCGCCAUUCCCUGCAAACCACGCAUCUCACUCUCUUGUAUGCUUUUAUUUCUUUAUUCUUUUCUCCUUCCCCUGUGCUCCUUCUUUCCUCUUCUCUUUAGGACUAAGUGUCAGUGACAGAAUGUGAGUCUGAAAGAGAGAUAAGAUAGAGACUCGAUUCUACCAUGAUCCACGGCACCGAACCCGUAGCCAGCCGUGACUUGUGCUCACUUGAUCCUCCCUUAGCCGAUUUCCAGCAGCAAACCGUCCAGCCCACUGACCCACCAAACAGAAGAAACCAGACCCAGCAAUCCGGCAUGAACCCAGCUCUACCCAUUAACCCGUGAACCCCGAAACCCAUGCCGCACCAUUCCAGCAACCUGUAGCUCAGCAAACUCAGAAGAAACCCGUGACCCAGCCGAGCUCGACUCGUGGACGUGUGCCGGAGAUGAUGAAUUGAGACAGCACAAAAGGACUGUAAGUAUAAAUUACUUACUGAGGGUAGCACUGGAUUUCAGUAAUAUUGUGUUUAUGUUUUAUUUUAAUUGGAUGCGUGUGACUGAUUAUUGCAUACUGUUAAUAAUCAACCUAUUAAUAUUGGGCGCGACGUCUCCCAAAGGUUCAGGAUGGUAAGUAUGCCUGAAACCGGAAACCAUAAUAAUCAUAUUGAUUGGGACGGCUUUCAAAGUACUAGAGGAGGGAGGUCUCCAAUAGUGCGAAAAUCAGUUAAUUAAAAUGUAAUGUAGAGGGGACGGCCUCGAGAAAGACGUUAACCGGGGGGACGGCCCUUACAAGAGAGGAGUGUAAUCACUAUAUGAACUGUUAAA